UUCCUUGUCAACAUGAGGAAAUAAAUCAACCACAAGGUCAGGGCGCCCUGUGCACUGCCUAGCCACGCCCCUCGUAUUGAUGGAAAACGUUUUAUCGUGUUAACCUUCCUAUCUUUAUGCCAUACAAGACUCGAUCGCAAUCGCACGCAAUCGCAGCAAGCUUAUUUAUUGACCGUUCUCAUGAAUCCAUCGAAAAAUGGUUUCUAUAUGAUAUACGAUCGUGUGCGAUCAGAUGGAAACUAGCCUUAAGCCAGGAGAAACCUCUGCCGACAGCCGCUAUAGAAUUCAGACACGGAUAAGUACGCUGAUAGAAACAAAUAGGAAGAAAGCUCUGCUAGCAGGGUAAACACUUUUGACGGAUAAUGUGCAGUGCUUGGCUAUUAUCUUCAUAAAUGAAGAAUAUGAAAUGAAUAAUAUAUAAAGCAUUACACAAAUUGUAAUUUAAUAUUAAUACAUUUUCUAACAGUGGCA